AUGGACGAACCUCCUGUGUACCUGUUGUGGCGCCAGCCGCACCGCAGGGUAGCAGCGUUCGGACGGGAUAAGCGCUGAAAGCAUCUAAGCGCGAAGCCCACCUCAAGAUGAGAUUUCCUUUAAGGGUCGUGGGAGACUACCACGUCGAUAGGCUGCAGGUGUAAGCGCAGUGAUGUGUUCAGCCGAGCAGUACUAAUAGCCCGAAAGCUUUACGCUA
rnacentral:rRNA from 1 species